rnacentral:lncRNA from 1 species
GCCUAGAUCCACCUUCCCUGUGAAACACCUAUUGGAGCGUUGUCGCGGGACGUGAAGGGAGGCAGAAGCUGCCGCAUCCGUUCUUAGCCGGGGUAGCAAAUUGGGGCGUGUGGUUGACCAACGACCUUCGUAGUGCCCUCGGGAGCGAAAUUGACGCCGCCGCAGAAUCAAUCGGAGCGCGGAUCAAGAGGAAUUCUUCACCGAGGUGGGUGACCGCCGUGGCCACACUUCACCAUGGACGAAGACGGCGUGGCGAAACCGGGGUAAUCAUCCCAUCCCUCGCUUAGUUUCCAUACCCCCAUCGUGUUACAUCGAUCCGAAGUGAGAAUAGCUUACAUGUGCCCCUAAAUUGUCCACCGGAGCUGUGCUUCGCUGAGGUGCCGCGAUUGACCGGGGGCCGGGCAGGCCAACAUGUCAUUCGCGUUGGGUCUACCCUCAUCAUGUUCAUAGUGGCUUGGGGUUGCCUGUACCAUGGAAGUCUGUAGUUCUAGAGCACCCAGGUGUGAUUCCGGGGAACUCCGGCGAGCUCGCCACCGUAGGCGGCGGCAGCGCUGUCGCUGGUGACCGCUGGUUGGGGUUGGCGGUGUUGGCGGUUGGACUCAAAAAUGACGGUUAGGAUCUAAUAUAUGCUCACCAAAUCUGAACCAUUAGAUUGUUGGCGAACGUCCGUGAUCAAGCGCAAAUGAUACCUCUUCGGGGUUGAUCGUGGGACGUUGGAUGACAUCGGACGGACCGGUGGCCAUCUCGUCCCUUUAAAAUAGCCAUCGUCGGAUCUUAAUCCAUAGGUCUAUGUUUCGUACCAGUUCGGUGCAUGGGUGGAUGUAAUCUGAACCCUUGAUUCCCGAUCGGACGCCUGAGAAACCGCGAUACCCCUUCGUUGUGCACUAUUUCACAUGAGACCCUGAGUUUAAUGAGUAUCAACCCGCAGUCUGUCUCAGUGUUAGCUCUAAGUCUGGGGAAUCUUGCGAGCUAGCCCCUAUACUUUUAAGUAUUAUUGCACGCAACCCAAGAACAAAGGAAUUCGAUAAUUAAUUAUAGAAACUAAUUUUUAAUACAAAAAUAAUUCCAGAAACUUGUAUAAAUCAUAUUUAAUUCAUUUUAACUGCAAAUUGAUCCAUUCCAGUGGCAUUAAUUUUGUUUUAAUAUUGUUUAUCACCUAGUAACUCUGUUUAGCUAUGAAAUUUGGAGUAAAAUUAUUCACUUGAAUUAUUCCACACCAAAUACUUAAUAACUUAGGAAAUUCAUAACUUGAUAACCGUAACUCCGAAUUUAUUGAUUCUUGUUCCUAUGAUCAUGUUACGACGCAUAGACUAUUAUCAUGCAUUCUGUUAUGUUGUUUGUUGUGAUGUUAAUUUCUGAUAUACCAUGUUUGUUUGUAUCGUUGCGAGUAGACGAGCAAGCCAUAGAGGAUCCCGAUGUUCAGCAGGUGGAGACUGCUGAGCAGGAGCUCGUUGAAGGCAAGUUGUGCCGUGAUCACUUCUGUUUACCCAAUAAUGUUCUUACUAAUCAUAAUGAUCUGCAUAGGUUAAUUUUGAUGGGACCCAAAAGGUUACCCUAGUUUGGCUAUAUUUACCUUGUUUACCACUGAAUUUUUUAGAUAGUACCAGCUAUUGCUUUAUGUGGUUUUGGGUAUGGAGAUAGACAUUAUUCAUGAUCAUACUUUUAUUAUUAGUUUGUUAUUUACUGUUCAUGAUAAGAUCAUUAUGUUAAUUGGAACAUGGAGCGACCACCCGGGAAAACAGUGCUACCACAAGGGUGGGAUGGGACGCACUUGGCUGACUAAUUAGAAAAGUUAGUGGAGGACUACCUUACCCAAAAGGGGAAAGGGCAGUAUGGGAGUGGUCAGUGUAGGGAGGUCCUUGGGUUGAUUUUGUUGCGAUGGCGGUCAGGCGAGGGAUCCCUGCAUUGGAGCGUCCUAGAAAUUGUAGCGGGUUUUUUGAAGCUAGUGGAACUUUGUAAAGGUCUCGUAGUGUUACCCUGCCUCACUUCCUUGGUAGAGGUGUAUGGGAGUCGUGAUCCCUUGGUAGAUGGGUAACAUGACUUGUGGGUAAAAAUACGCAACCUCUGCAGAGUGUAAAACUGGUAUAUCAGCCGUGCUCACGGUUAUGAGCGGCUCAGACCCUCACAUGAUUGAAUUAUGGAAUUAAAUUCAAUUUGUCAUCUGCAUCGCAUUGGGAUUUAUUGUUAUUUUGAUAUACUACUACUCUGGUUUGGCAUUUACUUACAUUUAGUAACUGCUAAUAAAAUUUGACCAACUUAUUAAAAGCUAUGCUCAUAUUUAACCCUUAUUUGUUGAUCAGCCUUACACUUCACAUGAACUCCCACCUUUGGUGAGUUCAUGCACAUUAUUCUCCACAACUUGUUGAGCUAUGAUCUUUUAUGAGCUCACUCUUGCGAUAUAUAAACCCCCCCACAGGUGAAGAGCAGGUGGUCCAAGAGGAGCCACCCUACAAUGAAGAAUACAAGUUGAUCUAGGUGGUGUCUCCAAGUCAGCUUUGUAGCGCCAAGGAAUAAUACUUAGUUCGCUUUAUUAUUAUCAUUUAUUUUUGUAAUACUUUCACUAUGUAAUA